rnacentral:tRNA from 1 species
GCCUGAGUGGCUCAGUUGGUUGAGCGUCUGACUUGAUUUCGGCUCAGGUCAUGAUCUCAGGGUUGUGGGAUCGAGCCCUGCAUCAGGCC